GGGCCCGCACAAGCGGUGGAGCAUGUGGCUUAAUUCGAGGCAACGCGAAGAACCUUACCUGGUCUUGACAUGCCCGUCAUAGUUUUCCGAAAGGAAUUCGUCAGUUCGGCUGGACGGUGCACAGGUGCUGCAUGGCUGUCGUCAGCUCGUGUCGUGAGAUGUUCGUUAAGUCCGGCAACGAGCGCAACCCUCGUUUCCAGUUGCCAGCGGGUAAUGCCGGGGACUCUGGAAAGACAAACCUCUUGUUGAGGUGGGAAGGUGGGGACGACGUCAAGUCAGUAUGGCCCUUACGACCAGGGCUGCACACGUGCUACAAUGGUAGAUACAGAGGGCAGCUAUCCCGCGAGGGAAUGCA
rnacentral:rRNA from 1 species